rnacentral:sRNA from 1 species
CCUGGGAGCGGUGGCGCACACCUGUAAUCCCAACUACUCAGGAGGCUGAGGCAGGAGGAUAGCAAGUUUGAGGCCAGCCUCAGCAACUUUACAAGGCCCUAAGCAACUUAGUGAGACCCUGUCUUAA